GACAGAGGGGGCAAGCGUUGCUCGGAAUUACUGGGCGUAAAGGGCGCGUAGGCGGGAUGGCAAGUCGGUCGUGAAAUCCCUCGGCUCAACCGAGGAACUGCUGGGCAUACUGGGAGUCUUGAGCCACCUAGGGGCGAGCGGAACAAAUGGUGGAGCGGUGAAAUGCGUAGAUAUCAUUUGGAACGCCAACGGAGAAAUCAGCUCGCUGGGGGUGUGCUGACGCUGAGACACGAAAGCCAGGGGAGCGAACGGG
rnacentral:rRNA from 1 species